rnacentral:rRNA from 1 species
AUGAACGCUAGCGACAGGCUUAACACAUGCAAGUCGAGGGGCAGCGGGGGUAGCAAUACCCGCCGGCGACCGGCGCACGGGUGAGUAACGCGUAUGCAACUUACCUAUCAGAGGGGGAUAACCCGGCGAAAGUCGGACUAAUACCGCAUGAAGCAGGGGCCCCGCAUGGGGAUAUUUGCUAAAGAUUCAUCGCUGAUAGAUAGGCAUGCGUUCCAUUAGGCAGUUGGCGGGGUAACGGCCCACCAAACCGACGAUGGAUAGGGGUUCUGAGAGGAAGGUCCCCCACAUUGGUACUGAGACACGGACCAAACUCCUACGGGAGGCAGCAGUGAGGAAUAUUGGUCAAUGGCCGAGAGGCUGAACCAGCCAAGUCGCGUGAGGGAUGAAGGUUCUAUGGAUCGUAAACCUCUUUUAUAAGGGAAUAAAGUGCGGGACGUGUCCCGUUUUGUAUGUACCUUAUGAAUAAGGAUCGGCUAACUCCGUGCCAGCAGCCGCGGUAAUACGGAGGAUCCGAGCGUUAUCCGGAUUUAUUGGGUUUAAAGGGUGCGUAGGCGGCCUUUUAAGUCAGCGGUGAAAGUCUGUGGCUCAACCAUAGAAUUGCCGUUGAAACUGGGGGGCUUGAGUAUGUUUGAGGCAGGCGGAAUGCGUGGUGUAGCGGUGAAAUGCAUAGAUAUCACGCAGAACCCCGAUUGCGAAGGCAGCCUGCCAAGCCAUUACUGACGCUGAUGCACGAAAGCGUGGGGAUCAAACAGGAUUAGAUACCCUGGUAGUCCACGCAGUAAACGAUGAUCACUAGCUGUUUGCGAUACACUGUAAGCGGCACAGCGAAAGCGUUAAGUGAUCCACCUGGGGAGUACGCCGGCAACGGUGAAACUCAAAGGAAUUGACGGGGGCCCGCACAAGCGGAGGAACAUGUGGUUUAAUUCGAUGAUACGCGAGGAACCUUACCCGGGUUUGAACGCAUUCGGACCGAGGUGGAAACACCUUUUCUAGCAAUAGCCGUUUGCGAGGUGCUGCAUGGUUGUCGUCAGCUCGUGCCGUGAGGUGUCGGCUUAAGUGCCAUAACGAGCGCAACCCUUGCCACUAGUUACUAACAGGUGAUGCUGAGGACUCUGGUGGGACUGCCAGCGUAAGCUGCGAGGAAGGCGGGGAUGACGUCAAAUCAGCACGGCCCUUACAUCCGGGGCGACACACGUGUUACAAUGGCGUGGACAAAGGGAGGCCACCUGGCGACAGGGAGCGAAUCCCCAAACCACGUCUCAGUUCGGAUCGGAGUCUGCAACCCGACUCCGUGAAGCUGGAUUCGCUAGUAAUCGCGCAUCAGCCAUGGCGCGGUGAAUACGUUCCCGGGCCUUGUACACACCGCCCGUCAAGCCAUGGGAGCCGGGGGUACCUGAAGUCCGUAACCGAAAGGAUCGGCCUAGGGUAAAACUGGUGACUGGGGCU